UACCUCAUUUGAAAAGAGAGAUGUGACCUGU
rnacentral:piRNA from 1 species